rnacentral:rRNA from 1 species
CCUACGGGAGGCAGCAGUGAGGAAUAUUGGUCAAUGGGCGGAAGCCUGAACCAGCCAAGUAGCGUGCGGGAUGAAGGCCCUACGGGUCGUAAACCGCUUUUGCACGGGGAUAAAACCCUCCACUUGUGGACGUCUGCAGGUACCAUGCGAAUAAGGGCCGGCUAAUUCCGUGCCAGCAGCCGCGGUAAUACGGAAGGCCCGAGCGUUAUCCGGAUUCAUUGGGCUUAAAGGGAGCGUGGGCGGGCGUUAAAGUCAGCUGUAAAAUCGCGCGGCCCAACCGCGCCCCGCAGUUGAAACUGGACGCCUUGAGUACACAACAGGCAGGCGGAAUUCGUGGUGUAGCGGUGAAAUGCAUAGAUAUCACGAGGAACCCCGAUUGCGAAGGCAGCCUGCUGGGGUGCGACUGACGCUGAGGCUCGAAGGUGUGGGUAUCAAACAGGAUUAGAUACCCUUGUAGUC